AUUAAAAAUUAGUUUCAAGUUUAAUGGUAGUUGUUUCAUAUUUAUUAGUCCAUUAAUUGUAUGAUUUUUAGGAUUGCAAAUUAAUGAUCCUAAGUUUCAUGUUAAUUGCCCUCAGUUUCAAGUUUCUUUGGUUUCAAAUUUAAUGGUCUUAAUUUUAAGUUAAUAGUAGGUGUUUCAUGUUUAUUGGUCCAUUAAUUGCAUGAUUUUUGGGAUUGCAAGUUAAUGAUCUCAAGUUCUAUGUUCAUUGCUCUAAGUUUCAAGUUCUUUUGGUUUCAAGUUUAAUGAUCUUAAUUUCAAGUUAAUGGUAUGUGUUUCAUGUUUAUUUGUCCAUUAAUUAGGGUUUACAAGUUAAUGUUCUUAAGUUUCAUAUUCAUUGCCCUCAGUUUCAAGUUCAUUUGGUUUUAGUUUAUUGGUCCAAAUUUCAAGUUAAUGGUAAGUGUUUCAUAUUUAUUGGUCCAUUAAUCGGGGUUGCAAGUUAAUGAUCCUAAGUUUCAUGUUAAUCGCCCUCAGUUUCAAUUUCAUUUGGUUCAAGUUUAAUGGUCUCAGUUUCAAGUUAAUGGUAAGUGUUUCAUAUUUAUUGAUCCAUUAAUUGGGAUUGCAAGUUAAUGAUCCUAGGUUUCAAGUUCAUUGCCCUUAGUUUCAAGUUAAUUUGGUUUCAAAUUUAAUGGUCCCAGUUUCAAGUUAAUGGUAGGUGUUUCAUGUUUAUUGGUCCAUUAAUCAGGGUUGCAAGUUAAUGAUCCUAAGUUUCAUGUUCAUUACCCUCAAUUUCAAAUUCAUUGGUUUCAGGUUUAAUGAUCUCAGUUUCAAGUUAAUGGUAGGUGUUUCAUAUUUAUUGGUCCAUUAAUUGCAUGGUUUUCGAGGUUGCGAGUUAAUGAUCCCAAGUUCCAUGUUCAUUGCCGUCAGUUUCAAGUUCAUUUGAUUUUAAGUUUACUGGUCCCAGUUUUGAGUUAAUGGUAGGUGUUUCGUGUUUAUUGGUCCAUUAAUUGCAUGAUUUUCGGGGUUGCAAGUUAAUGAUCCCAAGUUCUAUGUUCAUUGCUCUAAGUUUCAAGUUUCUUUGGUUUCAAGUUUAAUAAUCCUAGUUUCAAGUUAAUAGUAGGUGUUUCAUGUUUAUUGGUCCAUUAAUCAGGGUUGCAAGUUAAUGAUUCUAAGUUUCAAGUUCAUUACCAUCAGUUUCAAGUUUAUUUGGUUUCAAGUUUAAUGAUUCAGUAUCAAGUUAAUGGUAGGUGUUUCAUGUUUACCGAUUUUUCAGGUUUCCAUUUCUUUCAUAUUUAAUAAUAAUAAUAAAUUUCAAUCAUUCGAUCUACUCCAGUUUAAUCCAAUGGCUAUUUUUUAUGCAUGUAUGAGAUACAUGCAUGUGUUAACUAUUGAUUUUGAUGAUAACAAACUUGAUUAAGAUUGUUUUAAAGGCUCAAAUUAUUUUUAAUAUUACAAAGGUUUUAUAUCCAAUGAAAAGUGAUUUUAUGAUAUAAGUUAUUUUCAUGUUAAUGUUUUACAUUAAAAAUUUUUUAGAAUUUUCAAAAUAGAAAAUAUUGCUUAAA
rnacentral:lncRNA from 1 species